rnacentral:rRNA from 1 species
UACGAACCGUCCAAACGUUAUUCGGAAUCACUGGGCUUACAGAGUUCGUAGGCGGCGGAGAAAGUAGGGUGUGAAAGCCCUCGGCUCAACCGAGGAACAGCGCCCUAAACUACUUUGCUUGAGGAGGCUAGGGGUGAGCAGAACAGAUGGUGGAGCGGUGAAAUGCGUUGAUAUCAUCUGGAAUACCGGAGGCGAAGGCGGCUCACUGGGACCUUUCUGACGCUGAGGAACGAAAGCUAGGGUAGCGAACGGG